UUCUCACUGUCCUCACACGCGAUCUUUUUUUUCUAGCGCCUCUCCCUCUCUCUCUCUCUCUCUCAUGUCUCUCUCAACUCAACGACACCUCUCAUCCUCUCCUCUAAACCCUAAAAUCACUCCUCUUCCCAUCUGAAUGCAAUUCUCUCUCUCUUCCAACAAGAUGACGACGCUGAACUCGAACCCUAGUCUCUUAUCGCUGAACUCGUAAUUGCCAUUGAAGAAGCAACUUAUUUAUAGUAAGUUGUAAGAAAUAUUAUAAAUAAAAGAGCAAGAUUUCAGCCUAAAGAAUUGAGGAAGAGAACCUUGUUAAAAGGAUCUUCGUGUGUUCUUCCUUAUAUAUUGCUACUUCUCUUUAUCAGCUUUCAAAUUUAGUUUAUCCGCAAAAAAUUUGAAAAAGAAUAUCUCCGCUUUUCCCUUUUUGAUUUUUUUUAUUUGUGAAUUUAUAAUGAACUUUUAGUUUUAGAAUUAUAGUAGUUGGACUUUUAUCUACAGGUCAUUUAAGAAGUUGCUAGUGUUUGUAUGAUUUAUGAAGCUUCCAUGAAAAUCCAGUAUGUCUAUAUUGCUUCUUGCGCAUUUGUGUGAAGUUAAUUCAGUUCAUCUUGUUUGCAGUGUAUAGGAAUUAAUGUAUUUUCCUAGGUGUGAACAUCAAUAUUAGUGGAGUUGUGAUUGCAUCAAAGAAUUAUGGUGACUCAUAUUCUUGACCGAUCUCGAAGCUUGCCAAGUCGCUUGUAAUUAUUCAAGUGUAAUUGUGAGUUUAUAGCCUGCAUUUUGAUUUUAUUAGGGUGUGAUGGGUUGCUGUUUGGAUUUGUUGCUGGGAUCCAGAGCGUGAUGGAGAAAAACCAGAAUUUUAGAAAGAGAACGAAAGGGUGAUCCUGAUGAUCUGCCUAUAUUUGGCGAGUACAACAUUCAACAACUUAGGAUAUAUAUCGACAUCUAGCUUUGCAGUUGCGAACAUAGUUCCUAAACAUGGAGAAAAGGCACCCAAUAUUGUAUUCAAAGCGAAGCUGGAUAACCAAAAACGGAUUGCUAUAAAACGUGUCAAUAAGUCUGCUUGGCCGGACACCAGGCAGUUUUUGGUGCUGCCUUGGCUGCUGUGGUUGGAAAAGAUGGAGAAUCCAACAAGUCUACAGCUUAUGAGAGAAAUCAGAAGGGGUCUUGUGUUCAUAAUGGGUCCAGCAUCAGUUUUAGAGAAUUGGGAGAAUGAAUUCUCUAAUUGAGAUAAUUUUUGUUCAUGUUUAAUUAUAACUGGUGCAUUUUAAUUACAACUGGUGUAUUUUGAUUACAGUUGUUAAUGUAUACAUGUUCUACAA